UACGUAGGAGGCGAGCGUUGUCCGGAAUUACUGGGCGUAAAGCGCGCGUAGGCGGCGCGACGCGACCGGUGUGAAAGCCCCCGGCUCAACUGGGGAGGGUCAUCGGUAACGGUCGUGCUGUGAGUGCAGGAGAGGGAUGUGGAACUCCGGGAGUAGCGGUGAAAUGCGUAGAGACCCGGAGGAACACCAGUGGCGAAGGCAGCUUGCUAGGUCAUUUCUGACACUGAGAUGCGAAAGCGUGGGGAGCGAACGGG
rnacentral:rRNA from 1 species